AGGCAGCGUCCUGGUAAAAGGAAGGGAAACGGACUCUCCCCUAGAGACUCCAAAAGGGACGCAGCCCUGCCCACACCCUGAAUGCAUCAUUUCUGACCGUUAGAACUAGAAGACAAUAAAUUUGUGUGGCUUUACGGCACCAAGGUUGUGGUGAUUUUUCCGGCAGCAGUAGGUGACUGAUACAGGUUGCUGAGGGCAGUGGUCCCCCCCGGGAAGGGGUGAAUAAGCAGGGCACAGGAUGGUUCACCGGCACGUGAGAAGAAGGUAGUAGAAAGUCUUCUUAUAUUCAUUUUUCACUUUGAAGUAAAUAUCACUGGACUCACUUUGUGUGAUUUGAACACUGUCCCAACCCAGGCGAGCCAUUACUUGGACUUCACAUCUGUUUUCUCCUCACCGACAUCUUGAAGACCUUCCCUCUGCCUCCUUCCCUCAGGACCUUGAGAGGGCUGACUUCUCAUCUCACACGUGUAGCACCUCGUGGUCUCUUCCUGGUACGAACCGGACACCCAAGAAAUUGUCUUUAUUGGAAGGAGGAGCAGAUGAAAGAUGUGCAAGGGCCACCAUCCUGGACCCCGCCAUUGACACCACAUCCCGAGGGGGCGGGGUGGUGAGCAGUAAGGACCCUGGGGCCACGCCGCGUGGACAGAACUGCCCAUCGAUGACCCCUGCUUCGGACUCAAAACUUCCAGGUCAUUCAAGUCUCUCUCAUUUUGAGUUGCUCUUCCUCGUGACAAAGCCUAAACUGAGCUCAUACAGGUCGUAACAGGAAAGAACGCAAGGCAAACGAGCACAUAUGAAGCACAUCCCACCUUCAGACACUCAGCGAGUUGUCCCUCUGGGGCACAGGGGCCCCGGGGUUAGGGGAGCGUGGAUUCACAUUCGCCGAUUACUGGCGACAGCAGCUUUGCUGUGGUCUUAAAGCUGGCUGUGGGGCUGACCUGGGUUUUCUGCCUAAAAAUUCUGCUUUCUCUUCCUCUGAAGUUUGCAACCUGCUCUCACCAUUACUGCCUCUGAUGCUGGAGGCAACCUAUGAAGUAAAUAUCGGAUUCAUUUCAUCUGAUUCAAGCUCUGCUCUUCCAGCUCCAAGUCCAGCCAAGUCGAGGGCUCCAGUCGCUGCCCUACGGACCUCAGAAAUUUGGCCCCAGCCCCUCGUCUCCAGAACAAGGACUCUGGCAUGUACCAUCCCUUCCACUGUGACAAGCGGACACCUGCUGACCGGUGGUGGGCUGAAGCAUCCAAAGCCCCGGUGAAUCACGCCUCCCAGUUUCUCGUCCCUGUGGGAUCCCCGACUGCACCAAGACUGGACGUGGCCACGCAACUCUCUUUGGCCACUGAGACAUCAGAAAAUAUGACAUGAACAUGUGAUGAGGAAGCCCAAUGUAGCCUCUUUGAGGUUGAAAGGCCAGUGAAGGGGACGGGCCCACUCUCUCCACUGUCCCAGCUGAGCCCCGAUCCAGUGACCAUGCAGCUGAAUGCAACUAUGUGAGUGGGGCCAGGAGACAGUAGCAGAAGAAUCACUCGGCAUUCACAGAAUCACAAGGAGUAAUAGGUUGUUGUUGCCUUAAACUGCCAAGUUUUGGCAUGGCUUGUAAAACUACGUAUAUAUAGGUAGCUGAUAUGGACCAUUAUCCUCCGUUCUGUUUUGUCAUUAUUCACUGAGUUACGUGGCACUGCUUAGAGCCCAUAUCCGCAAACAAGAACAGAACCAACAUGCUCUGGGGUAGAGUCUAGUUCAUUCAUCCCACAGACACUUGCUGAGCACCUAGUGUAUACCUACCCUAGGUGCGGGGGAUGCAAGCACAGAUGAAACCAAUCUCUUCCUUCAAAAGGCUGAGAAUACCUGAGGGAAACAAACCACUGAUCAUCAGCAUGAGUCUGGUGGUCCCUCUCCGUAGAAUGUCCUUCUCCUUCUCACUUGGGUGAUUUCUAUUCACCCUGAAGGACGACACUGAGGCUCCCCGCGGUAGGAGUGCCAUCAACCUGGGCUCCAUCCUUGGCCCACCAUCUUGCUCAUAUCCGCACAAUGACCUUCCUCAGGGAUAACGUGUUCCAGGCCCCCUGGAGGUUAAUGUAUGCCCUGACAGGAGUGUGAGGGGGCUUGUUCUGUCCCAUCUUCCCUAAGGUGGUCACAGGCAGCCAGUGCACAGGGGACCCCACUCUAGGUAACUCCCCUGUGACCUCACCCCCAUGCCCUCCCUCUAGAAAAGCUGUGGGUUACAGUCUGAACUUUAUGGAGAACACCUGUGUGGUGCCUGGAUCAUUCAUCCACCUGAUCUUCCCCACCAGGAAGUCACCCUGAAGACAACUCUUUAAAUGGUAUGGAGUGGCUUGCUUCGUUUUUCAGUUUCAGCGUUCAGCGUUCUUUCUCAGUUUGGAGGCUACUUUACUGUCCAUCCUCCAGCUUCUAACACCAGCCCCUAAAACUCUCUCUCUGCUUCCCCAGUCUCGGCUGGAUUCUUUUCUUUUGCUUCUCACAGAAGCCUGUGUUCACCUCCAUUCAGGGAUUUAGCGCUGCAUCACUAUCGCGGUGAUCUUUGUUCACUUGGAUAUCUCCCCUCCUAGACUCUACAAGAGACUCAACAAGAAAAUGACGGAUGCAUCUCAGGCCCCCAGGUUCCUGCACAACUCUAAUUAAAGAGCCUGGACUAGAGCCUGGGGACACUGGACAUGACCUACCACCUGCUGAAUCUGCAGCCAUUCCCACUGUUCCUUGCACGCUGACUCUUGCCGUGGUCUCACUCUACGCCCAACUGUAUUCCAGGUGCUGCCGAUAGGAUGGGGAAGAAGGAAAUCUCCAGCUAUCAUGGCGUUGACAUUCAAGUGGAGGGGAUGACAAAUAAGAACCAAACAAACAAAUAGGUCACACACAAAAAGCGAAUGGUGAUGAACAUAGUACAAAGGAUUAGAACAUGGUGUCUGGGUUGUGACUUUAGACUGGGUGGCCACAGAAUGACAAUGUGAGAAUAACAUCCCACUGUUACCCAUGGAGCUCAAAUGCCCACCUGCAAAAUCGGUAAAUCUGUUAGCUGGACAAAAUUAUCUCUAGAGCAUCAUCCUGCACAACACAUCCUGUGGAUAAAGGACUCGGUAGGCUAGGUUAGCGUCAUAGAGGUUAGAAUCAGUUAAAACCAUUAACUAUCUAUAGCAGUAUCUGUAAUUUAUUGAGCUGCACUGGAUGCCUAAAAUCGGUGAUCUCUCGUGCUCAUGACGACCUUGCCAGGGCAGGUGUUAGUCUCAGCAUUUAACCAGUGGGGGAACUGGUCACGUUCACUGAGGUUAAGAAAUUUAAGCCAAGGGAGGUGGGAGAGGGGACGUGGUAGUGAGUCUGCCAUCGAGCCUGAAGCACUGUUUGAAAUUCGCUGUGCCACACCCUUCCUCUCUCCAGACUUGCCCCCCUGCCCCACCAUCCCCUCCUCCUCCUCCAAUAUUACAGAGACCCGAGUCCCACCUCCCUUUGUCGUCUCCUCCCAGAGGUCAGCAGGGUUUCUAUUUGCAUGGGAAAGGCAUCUGGCUUCCCACAGCCAACUGGUUCCCCACGACCCUCACUAACCAGGUGCUCCCCAGCCUCUGAGCCUAGUAAAUCAGCAACCAGGACCACAGGGGCUGGGGAGGGACUGGGGCAGAAAGAUAGGAUGCCCAAGGACUUCCCUCCCACCCGCCCUGCCUCCCCAGGACACUUUAAGGCAAAAAUUAUUUGCCAAUUUGUACCAUUUGUAUUCUGAAGUCUGGGACCUGCCCAAGAUAUCCUAGUGGAUGAACAAUGGAGUUUAUAUCUAAUCCUAACCUAAUGCUCAUUUUACUGUGCUGCACAUGUCAAAAAUAUAAAGGGGUUUUCUCAACGAGGGAAAUCAGAAUCAACACGAGGCGCACAGCCCCAUCUCUUUUCUUCUCGUGAUAUCAAGAGCCUCCCAAGAAAAGCCACUUUGGACCAAACCCCAAUGUUGUCUACCUCCAGGGCUGCAAGGAAUCACCAGUGUCUGAUGAUGUGAGAAACAAAGGCAGAAGAACAAUUAUUAAAUGUCCUUACUUCCUACAGCCCACUGGCAAGUUCUUGAAACAGGGAGAGUGACCUUCCUUUAGGGACUCAGCUGCCUCGAUGUUAAUACUCUGCUAAAGGCAAAAGGCAAUCUGAGCCCAACCCCCGGGAUCCUGUAAGUCGACUUCAACAUAUAAAAAUUCCUUUGGAAACUUCCUUUAUCUCUACUCCCCAAGAUACAUGUUGGCUAUCAUCCCCCAAUCAUAGGACCCACCCAUAUGCAUGUGAAGGGUCUCAUGAUGAGGGUUUUACUAGACAGUAAAUGACCUUUUCCCAGCAAUAGCUAGCCCCCUCAAGGUCCUGGAAACCUUGCUUCCAAACUCCUUAGAGACUUAUGCUAUCCCCAACCCCCUCCCAACUUGAAAGUACAUAAUGGACCACUCCUCACGACCCUGUUGCGGCUCUUUCUGCCAGCGGGUCCUGUCCCCGUGCUCUAAUAAAACCACCUUUUGCAUCAAGGAUGUCUCAAGAAUUCUUCCUUGGCCAUUGGCUUCGAACCCUAACGUCUUUCCUACAUCCCCUGAGACAAGAAGGAGCUGAUGCCUGCCUGGGUCAUCCUGCUGCCCCUCCCUUUGUGUGA